CCUACGGGUGGCAGCAGUGGGGGAUAUUGCUCAAUGGGGGAUACCCUGAUGCAGCGACGUCGCGUGGGGGAAGAAGGGCCUCUGCGUGUAAAGCUCUGUCAGCAGGGGAGUAAAUGACGGUAUCUGUAGUAGUAGGCCUGUCUAACUACGUGCCAGCAGCCGCGGUAAUACGUAGGGGGCAGGCGUUAUCCGGAUUGACUGGGUGUAAAGGGGGCGUAGGCGGCGUAGCAAGUCAGUAGUGAAAGCCCGGGGCACAACCUGAGUACUGCACUUGGAACUGCGUGACUUGAGUGCAGGAGGGGAGGGUGGAAUGCCUGGUGUAGCGGUGAAAUGCGUAGAUAUCAGGAAGAACACCGGUGGCGAAGGCGGCCUGCUGGACUGUAACUGACGUUGAGGCUCGAAAGCGUGGGGAGCAAACAGGAUUAGAUACCCUAGUAGUC
rnacentral:rRNA from 1 species